rnacentral:rRNA from 1 species
AUUGAACGCUGGCGGCAGGACUAACACAUGCAAGUCGAACGAGUGGCGGACGGGUGAGUAAUGUCUGGGAACCUGCCUGAUGGAGGGGGAUAACUACUGGAAACGGUAGCUAAUACAGCAUACCAUCGGAUGUGCCCAGAUGGGAUUAGCUAGUAGGUGUGGUAAAGGCUAACAUAGGCGACGAUCCCUAGCUGGUCUGAGAGGAUGACUAGACACACUGGAAUGGAGACACGGUCCAGACGCCUACGGGAGGCAGCAGUGGGGAAUAGUGCACAAUGGGCGCAAGCCUGAUGCAGCCAUGCCGCGUGUAUGAAGAAGGCCGUCGGGUUGUAAAGUACUUUCAGCGGGGAGGCGUUACCCGCAGAAGAAGCACCGGCUAACUCCGUGCCAGCAGCCGCGGUAAUUC